AUGACAAACCCUCUCACUGUCCAGAGGAGGAAACCGAGGCCUAGAAUGCGGCAGGAGGCCUCAUCAUCCUCCAGGUCUCUGCCCUCGACGUUCAUCCUGGUUUCUUCAUCCCCAGGGAUUCUCCAGCCCAACUCUCUGCUGUUCUCUUACCUGUCACGCUCUGUGAUCAGUUUGUCCAGUUAUGAGGUUUUGUCAUCCACAACAGAGAAAGUUCCACAGGGACCUGGCUUGCUCACCACUGGGACCCCAGUGUCCCGCUCAGGGCCUGGCACAUAAGAGGAUAACCUUGCCUUGCCAGCUUGUAGGGUGGGCUGAGGUGACAAGAGAAGGCAUGGGUACCACGCCACAGCCGGAGCCGUGUUCAAACAAGCUGAGAAGGAGCAGGUGUAAGGCUACUUCCGGGUAGGCCAGCUGCUGAGUCAGCGAGCAAGCAGAUCUCAGAGGACGCCGCCGACAUGACGGACAUGUGUGGGGGAGGGUGACGCCCCAGGGAGGCCUCCCCAGUGUGGGUGGUCAACAUGGCCAGUGCAGAGAGGGGACCCUACCAGCGCAAACACCCUGGGCUCUCUGAGUUUAUCCCUCCACAGGCCAGCGUCUGCCCAAAGGUCACAAAGAGACAUCCUUGCUGAGUCAGUUUCAUGCUGCUUUGUUCUAUUUUGGUUGCCCACAGAGGGCAGAGCCUCCCACGCGUCUCCCACACCAUGGGGUCUCAGAGUCAGGAGCACCCUCCAGUUCCACUUUCUCCCCUGCCCAACAUCCCUGACAAACACACCCUCUCCAACAGUUUUCUAGAACUAGGGAGCUCACUGCUUAUCAAGCUCUGACCUUUCCAUGUGACCUCUGCCCUCAAGGAGCUCACAGUCCUUCUGGAAAGGGAUACAGACAGACAGAAGGACAAGUGAUCCGCUGCUCUGCUAAGAAGCAGAAGUAGUACAUGCUCACCGUGGCCGUGUGGUGAGGCAGAUUAAGCAGGAGGCCCUGACCAGUGUGACGCUCUGAACCAGUGUGACGCUCUUGGCUGGACACCUUCCCCAGC
rnacentral:lncRNA from 1 species